rnacentral:pre_miRNA from 1 species
CAGGCAAAAGCCACUCAGGUUAGCCAAGGUGACCGCCCACAGACCCAGCUCGAACCGACUAUGCAACCGGAACUCACAAGGACAUGUAGGCAAGUCAUCCUUGGCUACCAGAGGCAGGCUUUGGCCC